rnacentral:rRNA from 1 species
UACGUAGGGUGCAAGCGUUAAUCGGAAUUACUGGGCGUAAAGCGCACGUAGGCGGCUUUGUAAGUAAGAGGUGAAAGCCCAGAGCUCAACUCUGGAAUUGCCUUUUAGACUGCAUCGCUUGAAUCAUGGAGAGGUCAGUGGAAUUCCGAGUGUAGAGGUGAAAUUCGUAGAUAUUCGGAAGGAACACCAGUGGCGAAGGCGGCUGACUGGACAUGUAUUGACGCUGAGGUGCGAAAGCGUGGGGAGCAAACAGG